CACGUAGGGUGCGAGCGUUGUCCGGAAUUAUUGGGCGUAAAGAGCUCGUAGGCGGUGUGUCGCGUCGGCCGUGAAAACCUGCAGCUUAACUGUGGGCUUGCGGUCGAUACGGGCAUCACUUGAGUUCGGCAGGGGAGACUGGAAUUCCUGGUGUAGCGGUGAAAUGCGCAGAUAUCAGGAGGAACACCGGUGGCGAAGGCGGGUCUCUGGGCCGAUACUGACGCUGAGGAGCGAAAGCGUGGGGAGCGAACAGG
rnacentral:rRNA from 1 species